AUGAUCAACAUCCAAACAGAAGAGUGUCAUUUCUUUAACAUGGAGAACAGAUGGAAGAAGUUUGUAUCACUGUGGUACACGUUCGGUGGAGGAACCAGACUGGAGUUUGGAUGUGAUGUGCGCCCAUACCUGACGGUGCUGCCUCCCUCCAGUGAAGACCUGGAGCAGGGGAAGGCCACGCUCAUGUGCCUGGCCAACAAGGGCUUCCCCUCAGACUGGAGUCUGGCCUGGAAGGUGGACGGCAGCAGCAGCAGCAGCUGGGAGGAGAGCAGGAGCCCCGGGGUGCUGGAUAAGGACGGUCAUUACAGCUGGAGCAGCACCCUGAGGCUCCCUGCAGACCAGUGGAGGAAGGUGGGCUCUGUGACCUGUGAGGCCACCCAGGGCUCCCAGACUCCGCUCUCAGAGACACUGAGGAGAGACCAGUGUUCCCAGUCCUGAGCUGACUCACUGGCAGGGACUCUGCUACUGGUUUUACUCUGACACUGCUCUCACUCUGCACUCUGCAACUAUCUCUGGCUUUUAUUUCACCUGUUUCA